CUCAUAUUGUCUACGUGGGCCGCAACAGGCGGAAUUAGGCAAGUUUCUGUCCGAUCAACAUAAACGCAUUUCGCUAACAUUGCAGCUAUAAGAGUUAGGCCAGAAAUCUUGAUUCUCUUCGAUCAAUACCAACGCAUUUCACUAUCAUUAAAGCCAUAAGAGUUUUUGGCCAUAAACCCUCGAUUCUCUUCGAUAAAUAUCAACACAUUACACUAUCAGAAACUGUAAAAAAGUUGCAGUUCACAGAAGCAAUGGAGAAAUACGCAGGCUCUUUCUACAUCGUUUGCGCUAUACUAAUAACCCUGCUGCUUGCUGUAACAAUCAUCUUCAAAUGGGCAGUAUAUACGAAACGGAGGUCACUUCCUCCUGGGCCGAUUGGCUUGCCCAUUGUUGGGUGCCUAAUCCAAAUGAUUAUUAACAAGCCAACCUUCCAAUGGAUUCACAAAGUGAUGGAUGAUAUGCAAACUGAAAUUGCUUGUAUCCUUCUUGGUGGGGUUCAUGUCAUUCCUGUAACUUCUCCUGAACUUGCACGAGAGUUCUUGAAGAAACAGGAUAUUAUUUUUGCAUCAAGACCUCAUUGCAUGUCUGCAAGAUUAUGUAGCAGUGGGUACUUAACUGCAAUACUUUCACCCAUGGGUGAUCAGUGGAAGAAAAUGAGGGGAGUUCUUGCUUUACAUGUGCUUUCACCAGCAAAGCACCGUUGGCUUCACGAUAAAAGAAUGGAAGAAGCUGAUAAUCUUGUUCGUUAUGUCUAUAACCAGUGCAAGAAUUCUUCGAAAGGUGUUGGUUUAGUGAACGUUAGAGUCGCAGCACAACAGUACUGUGGCAACGUUAUCAGGAGGAUGAUAUUCGGCAAAAGGUACUUUGGAAAUGGUAUGGAAGAUGGAGGACCAGGCACCGAAGAGGAAGAACAUGUUGCUGCACUCUUCAAAAUUCUUUCCUCUCUCUUUGGGUUCAGCAUUUCAGAUUAUGUUCCGUGGUUGGAGUUUUUUGAUUUCGAUGGUUAUAAAGGGAUCCUACAAAAGGCUAUUGGGAGUCUAUCUAAAUUCCAUGACCCCGAAAUACAUGGUAGGAUUCAGACCUGGAAAAAGGGGCUGAGAGAAAAUGAAGAGGAUAUUCUUGAUGUUUUGAUAAACCUCAAGGACUCAAAAGGUGCUCCGCUUUUGACGAUUGAAGAGAUCAAAGCACAAAUUAUUGUAAGAAUGCCCUAACCUACUCAAAUCUACUGUAGCUCUCACAUUUUCACCUAGUUUGGAACCCCAAUAUGAAUUUGUCAUUCCUAUCUAUAGGAAAUUAAUCGACCACGUCACUAUGAUAUUAAUGAAAACCAAUGAUUAUAUUAAAAACAUAAUGUACAAUUUACUCUUAAAAUUGAUUCUCGAGAAGUUUAUUAUUAUAUUUUUAUUAAUUACUUUCAUUGAUAACCCGUUAAAAAUCUUAUUUUUCUACUAUAUAAUUGAUAUUUGCAGGAAAUGAUGAUAGCCACAGUGGAUAAUCCAUCAAAUGCUUUUGAGUGGGCUCUUGCAGAGAUGAUAAAUCAACCCCAGAUUUUGAAAAGGGCGGCUGCAGAAUUGGACUUAGUGGUUGGAAGGAACAGACUAGUUCAAGAAUCAGAUUUAAAUAAACUGAACUAUGUGAAGGCGUGUGCAAAAGAGGCAUUUAGACUCCAUCCAAUAGCACCUUUUAACGUUCCACAUGUAUCUAUGGAAGAUAAAACUGUAGCUGGAUACUCCAUUCCAAAAGGUAGUCACGUAAUGUUGAGUCGUACAGGUCUUGGUCGAAAUACAAGAAUAUGGGAAGAUCCUCUGAAGUAUAAGCCCGAGCGUCACCUCAAAGAUGAUGGCUCAGCGGUUGUUCUCGUUGAUUCUGAAUUGCACAUGUUAUCGUUUAGCAUUGGAAAGCGAGGAUGUGCCGGUGUUGUGCUUGGCUCUACCUUGACCACAAUGUUAUUUGCUAGACUUAUUCAUGGAUUCACUUGGAACGCUCCACCUGAUGUGACAAGCAUUGACUUAACUGAGUCUGAGUGUGAUCUCUUGCGAGCCAAACCAUUGGUUGCACUAGCAAAACCCCGGUUGUCUUCAAACAUUUAUCAACAACUUCAAAUUUAAAAUUCAUUGCAGGGUCUAUUAGUAUUGUUUAAAAAUCUAGUUUUGUGUGUAUUGAGUCAGAUAAAAAUUAAUAUGUAGUGUUUGAAUAAGCCCCUAUUGUGGAGUCGAAUUCUAGCUAGUGAGUUGUCAAAUUAAUGGUCGUUCCGUGUUUUGAAUGGUUAUGUACACAUAUUUGGCAAGGCAACAUGAAUUUGAAAUAAAUAUUUUCCUUCCUUUAGAACUGAGCAUUAGUGACUAAGACAACAUUUGAAAUCUUGUUUCGAGUUAUGACGUAGCAACUCGUAAAUAUUGUAAUAUCGAGCUUUAGUUACGAACUCAAUUUUACUUCAUUCACAAAUGUGAAUCUUUAUAGACAG
rnacentral:lncRNA from 1 species